rnacentral:rRNA from 1 species
GACGAACGCUGGCGGCGUGCCUAACACAUGCAAGUUGAGCGACGAACCAGGGCUUGCCCUGGGGCAAAGCAGCGAACGGGUGAGUAACACGUGGGUAACCUACCCCGAUAACCGGGACAACCCGAGGAAACUCGGGCUAAUACCGGAUGUGCUCACUGGACUUCGGUUCAGUGCGUAAAGGAAGCUUCGGCCUCCGUAUCGGGAGGGGCCCGCGGCCCAUUAGUUUGUUGGUGAGGUAACGGCUCACCAAGACCGCGAUGGGUAGCUGGUCUGAGAGGACGAUCAGCCACACUGGGACUGAGACACGGCCCAGACUCCUACGGGAGGCAGCAGUGGGGAAUCUUGCGCAAUGCGCGAAAGCGUGACGCAGCAACGCCGCGUGGGGGAAGAAGGCCUUCGGGUUGUAAACCCCUUUCAGGGGGGACGAAGGUGCGGCGGUGAAUAGCCGUCCGGACUGACGGUACCUCCACAAGAAGCCCCGGCUAACUACGUG